AACACUGGACAUGACGCCGUUUUAAGACUGCAUUAGUUCGUCUGUCAUAAAAAUGUUUUUUGGACUAAAAUUGUUACUUUUCUGUUAAAACGUGUGUGUUUUAGUGAUUUUGUUGAUAUAUAAAGAUCCCGACAAAGAUAUUGAUCGCUUUAGGACCUGGAUAUAUAAAUUUUGGAGCCUUUGGAGGUGAUAUUUUGGCUAAAGAUAAUGAAUACAUCUUUAAGAACAGAAGACUGCCAUUUACAUUUUGAGGUUAAAUAUCACAUCAGGAGCAGAAUGCUUUGUGCUAAUGCUGUCCCCACGCUUUAUUUAACAAAAUUUUCUUUUGUUUGAAAGCACCCCCGAAUUGACGUAACUAACCAACCUUUGAAUAUUCCUCUUGCUACAACUUCAACAUCAGGCACCUUCAAGAAGCAUCCAGGGCUAAACAAGCAAAAGCUGUUGAAAGAAAUAAAGAAAAAGCAGAAAGACAAAGACUCUAUAAACAUUGGCUAAAUAAAGAAAAAACUAUCAACAAAUUCUUCAUUUCAGAAUACUUUGAAAAAGUUUAAAACCUUGGCUACUAUUUUUACAAUAAUGCAAUUAAGAAAAAUAUCUAAACCUAUAAUGGGACGAAGAUUUACAAAAGAAGAAAAGACAAUAGCUCUAUCUUUAUACGAGCUGGGACUUCGAGCUUAUAGGUGGCUCAUCAAAAGUGGCUUCGUCUUGCCAUCUCCAGUAAUUCUAAGCAGACUAGUUACCAAGGCUGGCUUGAAGCCAGGGCUUAAUGAAAAUAUAUUUAACCAACUGCAUGAAUAAGUGUAUAAAAGAAGAAGAAAAAUUAUGUAACCUAAUCUUCGACAAAAUAGCAAUCACUCCUCACUUUGACUAUAAUAGAAAAAAAGACAGAAUAACGGGAUUCGUAAACUACAAAGGAGAACCGCUAAGAAAAAUUGCUGAUCAGGGAAAUUGUAAAAAAUUACAAGCAGCCAAUUUGUUAUGCGUUUUCCGCGGGAAGCACUCCAAACCAAGUUUUGGCAUGUAUUAUAAAAAAAUAUAAUAAAAGAACUCCAAAAUA